CCUACGGGGGGCAGCAGUAGGGAAUCUUCCACAAUGGGCGAAAGCCUGAUGGAGCAACGCCGCGUGGGUGAAGAAGGUCUUCGGAUCGUAAAACUCUGUUGUUAGAGAAGAAAGUGCGUGAGAGUAACUGUUCACGUUUCGACGGUAUCUAACCAGAAAGCCACGGCUAACUACGUGCCAGCAGCCGCGGUAAUACGUAGGUGGCAAGCGUUAUCCGGAUUUAUUGGGCGUAAAGGGAACGCAGGCGGUCUUUUAAGUCUGAUGUGAAAGCCUUCGGCUUAACCGGAGUAGUGCAUUGGAAACUGGGAGACUUGAGUGCAGAAGAGGAGAGUGGAACUCCAUGUGUAGCGGUGAAAUGCGUAGAUAUAUGGAAGAACACCAGUGGCGAAGGCGGCUCUCUGGUCUGUAACUGACGCUGAGGUUCGAAAGCGUGGGUAGCAAACAGGAUUAGAUACCCGUGUAGUC
rnacentral:rRNA from 1 species